rnacentral:lncRNA from 1 species
CACCUUGACCACUCGCCAUGCCUCUCCUCUUCAGUCUUCAUGGUUGUACUAGAUCUGUGCUUCAUUUCCAUGUUUAGAUCGUUUGAAUCCAUCAGAAUAUCUCACACCACUCAGAUAAUAAAGACCAGAACUCAAGAACACCAAGAACACUCAAGAACACUCAAGAACACUCAAGAUUUUUAUGAAAAAGAAAUCACACUCUCCCCUUUUAAGCAACCUGGCUCUGAUACCAUAAACACUUUUGUGUUUUAAGAGUAUGAUUCAAAUAAUCAGAGAUAAUCAGAUAAAGCUACCAAAGAGAUUAAGAGAUUUUAGAGAAUAGAGAGAGAAUAGAGAGAGAGAGGCUCAAAACUCCAUUAAUUGAUUUAAUGUAUCAGAUACAAGAUAUAUAAGAAGAGAUAAGGCUGAUUAAGUAAAUUUCGAAAUCCAUAAGCAUGUGGAGUCAAAGGACAGGCUGGAACUCCUUUUGAAUCACUUGGCUGUGCUUUCUCACAUGUUUGCACUAGUGUAAAAGCAUCCUCUCCUUUCCAGCAUCAUACAGGCUGUCAAACUGCUCCCUUAUCCUUCCUUAUCCUC